UACGUAGGCAGCAAGCGUUGUUCGGAAUUACUGGGCGUAAAGAGUGUGUAGGCGGUGUUCUAAGUUUGUCGUGAAAUCUCCCGGCUUAACUGGGAGGGUGCGGCGAAAACUGGAAUGCUAGAGGAUGGGAGAGGUAAGCGGAAUUCCUGGUGUAGCGGUGAAAUGCGUAGAUAUCGGGAGGAACACCAGUGGCGAAGGCGGCCGGCUGGGGGUGCCCUGACGCUGAGGCGCGAAAGCGUGGGGAGCGAACCGG
rnacentral:rRNA from 1 species